AGAGUCUGUUCCUGGCUCAGGACGAACGCUGGCGGCGUGCCUAAUACAUGCAAGUCGAGCGAAUCUUUGGGAGCUUGCUCCCAUUGGUUAGCGGCGGACGGGUGAGUAACACGUGGGCAACCUGCCUGUAAGACUGGGAUAACACCGGGAAACCGGUGCUAAUACCGGAUAAUCCUUUCCUUCACAUGAGGGAAAGCUGAAAGUCGGUUUCGGCUGACACUUACAGAUGGGCCCGCGGCGCAUUAGCUAGUUGGUGAGGUAACGGCUCACCAAGGCGACGAUGCGUAGCCGACCUGAGAGGGUGAUCGGCCACACUGGGACUGAGACACGGCCCAGACUCCUACGGGAGGCAGCAGUAGGGAAUCUUCCGCAAUGGACGAAAGUCUGACGGAGCAACGCCGCGUGAGCGAUGAAGGCUUUCGGGUCGUAAAGCUCUGUUGUUAGGGAAGAACAAGUACCGGAGUAACUGCCGGUACCUUGACGGUACCUAACCAGAAAGCCACGGCUAACUACGUGCCAGCAGCCGCGGUAAUACGUAGGUGGCAAGCGUUGUCCGGAAUUAUUGGGCGUAAAGCGCGCGCAGGCGGUCCUUUAAGUCUGAUGUGAAAGCCCACGGCUCAACCGUGGAGGGUCAUUGGAAACUGGGGGACUUGAGUGCAGAAGAGGAAAGCGGAAUUCCACGUGUAGCGGUGAAAUGCGUAGAGAUGUGGAGGAACACCAGUGGCGAAGUCGGCUUUCUGGUCUGUAACUGACGCUGAGGCGCGAAAGCGUGGGGAGCAAACAGGAUUAGAUACCCUGGUAGUCCACGCCGUAAACGAUGAGUGCUAAGUGUUAGAGGGUUUCCGCCCUUUAGUGCUGCAGCUAACGCAUUAAGCACUCCGCCUGGGGAGUACGGCCGCAAGGCUGAAACUUAAAGGAAUUGACGG
rnacentral:rRNA from 1 species